UCUGCUCAGGACGAACGCUGGCGGCGUGCCUAAUACAUGCAAGUCGAGCGGACCUUUCAAAAGCUUGCUUUUGGAAGGUCAGCGGCGGACGGGUGAGUAACACGUGGGCAACCUGCCUGUGAGACUGGGAUAACUUCGGGAAACCGGAGCUAAUACCGGAUAAUAUAAGGAACCUCCUGGUUCUUUAUUGAAAGAUGGUUUCGGCUAUCACUCACAGAUGGGCCCGCGGCGCAUUAGCUAGUUGGUGAGGUAACGGCUCACCAAGGCGACGAUGCGUAGCCGACCUGAGAGGGUGAUCGGCCACACUGGGACUGAGACACGGCCCAGACUCCUACGGGAGGCAGCAGUAGGGAAUCUUCCACAAUGGACGAAAGUCUGAUGGAGCAACGCCGCGUGAGCGAUGAAGGCCUUCGGGUCGUAAAGCUCUGUUGUUAGGGAAGAACAAGUGCGAGAGUAACUGCUCGCACCUUGACGGUACCUAACCAGAAAGCCACGGCUAACUACGUGCCAGCAGCCGCGGUAAUACGUAGGUGGCAAGCGUUGUCCGGAAUUAUUGGGCGUAAAGCGCGCGCAGGUGGUCCUUUAAGUCUGAUGUGAAAGCCCACGGCUCAACCGUGGAGGGUCAUUGGAAACUGGGGGACUUGAGUGCAGAAGAGGAAAGUGGAAUUCCAAGUGUAGCGGUGAAAUGCGUAGAGAUUUGGAGGAACACCAGUGGCGAAGGCGACUUUCUGGUCUGUAACUGACACUGAGGCGCGAAAGCGUGGGGAGCAAACAGGAUUAGAUACCCUGGUAGUCCACGCCGUAAACGAUGAGUGCUAAGUGUUAGAGGGUUUCCGCCCUUUAGUGCUGCAGCUAACGCAUUAAGCACUCCGCCU
rnacentral:rRNA from 1 species